rnacentral:siRNA from 1 species
GCGAGGUAAAGGUGCAUGCCU